rnacentral:lncRNA from 1 species
UUUGUUUCUUUUCCUUUUUUUGUUCUCUUUGAGGUUUUAAACUAACCUCUAUUAUUUUCUACUGAGAUUUUACACUGUUUCUUUUCACUUUUCAGUUUUGGAUACAUCUGGAAUUGACUUUUUUGCAUGGUGUAAGAAAUAACAGUUCUUCCUGGAUCAGCCCUCUCCCGUCUGUCAUCUCCAACAGAUACAAAGCCAGCUUUAAGAAGACCAAACCUACAAAAAUCAUUCAUGCUUUCUGCCUCCAUGUUUUUCUUUCCAACCUAGUUCCUCCAGAAAAUGUAAAAGAGCAACCGAACCGUCAACUGGUACAAUGACUUCUACACAUCAGACCUCGGCCACGCCACAGUCAUCAGAUUAUUCUAUCACAGGGUCUCUCAACCGUGGAAUAUGGUCUCCAAGGGAAACAAGCCACAGAGGGCUCAGGAGCAUUGCUAUAAAGAGUAGGCAAAUGGAAAUCUUUCCCCAAAGGGCACACUGGGAUUGUUAGGCGAGGGCUGCUCAAUCCAUUAAAAGUUUAAACUCGAAAAAAAAAAAGAAAAAAAAAACCUUUUGAAAAAAUACAGAAAGCAACCUGUUCUAGAUUUUGUGUAUAAAAGAGAGUUUAUUCAGGGGACUGAAAUGUUGACAGUGAAUCAACUGGGAGGAUAUUUUCAAUCAGAACCGUCUGACUGACAGCUUUCAUAUUAUUAAUGCACAUACUAGGAGACAUCAAAUUUGAAGGGCAGGCAUUGUGCUAAGUCAGACUUCUACCUUAAAAUGCAUUACAUUUUGUCUGUAAAUCAAGGUCAGUUAUUAAAUUAAGGUGCUCUCAUCCCUAAAUACUUUAUUCCAUCAUCGUGUGUAAUUAAUCACAAACCCCUUACUUGGGGUUCUUUAGAAAGUGAUGAGCAAAACCCAUAAAAAAUUAAGAGAAAAAAUAACAGGUAUCUUUUAAAAAACAGGGAAUAAGUGCAAGGAAAUUUAAGUAUAAGUAAAAAAAUUUGCACGAUUCUUUAAAUAGAUAAUAGAUAUAAUAAUAAUAAUUUUGCAGCCCUACAAUUCCACAGCAUAUUAAUCUUUUCAAAUCUGUUAUUUUUCACCAUUAAAACAAUCAUGUAAAACAGGUGGAGUACUUCAAUAUUCCAAUUUCACAGAUGCAUACACUGAGUCAAGGAAAAGUUAAGUAUCUAUUAAGUCAUCCAGCUUACUGGAUAUGGAACUGAGACUUGAAAGCAUAUCUUCUAAAUCCGACCUCUUCUCUAAAGAUAGUGUCACCUUUCUCCAAAGAUAGUGUCAGGACAUAGAAAGCAGAAGUUAAACUGUAUGCGCUAUUCUGCCUUCCAUACUUAUUUUUCCCAAGAAGUAAUUUAAAAAACACAUUGGAGAUAAUGCUUGUGAAGCACUUUGCUAAAUGCUAAAUUGUCCGAACACUUUGGAAAAAAGUGGCAGUUUCUUAAAAAAUUAACAAAGAAUUACCAUAUGACCCAGCAAUUCCACUCCUAGCCAUGUACUGAGGAGAACUGAAAAUAUAUGUCCAUGUAAAAACUUAGAGUUAAAUAUUUGUAGCAGCUUUAUUUAAAAUAGCCAAAAAGUGGAAACAACCCCCCAAAAAUGUGCCUCAGUGAUGGAUGUAUAAAUAAAACA